AUUAGAUUGUAUUAUAUCGUGUCAUCUUGCAUUCCAACAUCGUAGUUAGUAAAAUAAGUUCUCCUUCUUAGGUCGUAACUCCGUGACAAGUAGAAAUACAAAUGUUUUCCAUAUAAAAAAAAAAAAAUAAUCAAUUUAUGGAAGUAACAUUUUAGCUCACUUUUUCAAAUUAGUAGUUUCUUAUGCAUUCUUCCAUCGCAGAUGUGCAGACGACUUCCACUCAUAGAAGC
rnacentral:lncRNA from 1 species